rnacentral:rRNA from 1 species
GCACAAGCGGUGGAGCAUGUGGUUUAAUUCGACGCAACGCGAAGAACCUUACCUGGGCUCGAAAUGUAGUGGAAUCCGGUAGAAAUAUCGGCGUCUAGCAAUAGACCGCUAUAUAGGUGCUGCAUGGCUGUCGUCAGCUCGUGUCGUGAGAUGUUGGGUUAAGUCCCGCAACGAGCGCAACCCUUAUCUCCAGUUGCUACCAUUUAGUUGAGCACUCUGGCGAAACCGCCUCGGAUAACGGGGAGGAAGGUGGGGAUGACGUCAAGUCCUCAUGGCCUUUAUGUCCAGGGCUACACACGUGCUACAAUGGCCGGUACAAACCGCUGCAAACCCGCGAGGGGGAGCUAAUCGGAAAAAGCCGGCCUCAGUUCGGAUUGGAGUCUGCAACUCGACUCCAUGAAGCUGGAAUCGCUAGUAAUCGUGGAUCAGCAUGCCACGGUGAAUACGUUCCCGG